GGAAAUGUAGCUCAGUGGUAGAGCACGUGCUUUGCAUACUGAGGCCUGGGUUCAAUCCCAGCACCA
rnacentral:tRNA from 1 species